rnacentral:rRNA from 1 species
AACGAACGCUGGCGGCAUGCCUAACACAUGCAAGUCGAACGAUCCCUUCGGGGAUAGUGGCGCACGGGUGCGUAACGCGUGGGAACCUGCCCUUAGGUUCGGAAUAACUCAGAGAAAUUUGAGCUAAUACCGGAUAAUGUCUUCGGACCAAAGAUUUAUCGCCUUUGGAUGGGCCCGCGUUGGAUUAGCUAGUUGGUGGGGUAAAGGCCUACCAAGGCGACGUUCCAUAGCUGGUCUGAGAGGAUGAUCAGCCACACUGGGACUGAGACACGGCCCAGACUCCUACGGGAGGCAGCAGUGGGGAAUAUUGGACAAUGGGCGAAAGCCUGAUCCAGCAAUGCCGCGUGAGUGAUGAAGGCCUUAGGGUUGUAAAGCUCUUUUACCCGGGAUGAUAAUGACAGUACCGGGAGAAUAAGCCCCGGCUAACUCCGU